CCAAAUCCCUAAAUCAUAAAAUCCGAUGGCCCCUUCCCCCAUCUCUCUCCUCUCUCUCUCUCUUGAUCGAUCCGCCAUAGCCAAUCUUGAGCAGAUGUUUUGUUGUCUUCAAUUGUCGAUGGAUGUUCUUCGUUCGAUUCAAACAUGCCUUGCGGAAGAUCGCUCAACAUCUUCGAAAAACAAAAAUAAGGUAAUUUGUUGUUCUUCAUUUUGUAGUGGACAAUUUACCCCAAUUUACUGUUUAUCAGAUGAUAAAUUUUGGAAUUUCAAUUCAAACAAGGGAAGAAAAGUAAGCCCCCACCAUUAGUUUUAAAUAGUGGAAAUAAAUCAGAAGCAUUCCAUACUAAUUGCAAAAUUAUGAAAAAUGCAAGUAUGGUAUUUCGAUUGCAAAUCAGAUGACCUAAAAGAGCAGAAACUUGAAAGGCUUCUUUGCAAAGAUCAAGAACACAAUUUAGGUACUUGAUUUUGAUUUGACAUUUUUUUGGUUUUUGUCAUCUGCUUGACUUUGUCUUGUGAUUUAGCUGGAAACCGGAGCUCCGGAUUUGGGGUUUUCAAAGAGGUUUUGACAGGUUAAGCAAACUAGGUUUGUGGUCUUUUUUCGAUUUCGUAGGACAACUCCUCCAUUUGUUGUUUUCAAUUAUUACUUUAUCUGCUCUAUCUAUGUUUAUGUGAGAAGAACAUUCAUAUUUGUUCAAAUAUGUGAUAAAUUAUUUGAUUCCUCACUGUUUCAAGGAUGGGAUGAAAUGUCGUGAACGUGUUGUAUUUGAUUACGUGAAUUUUCAUCUAUUCUUGUCUAUAAAGUGGCAUGUUCUGUUUUAACUUUUGAGAUGCUUUAGAGUGAGAUAAAAAUGCUAACUUCAUUGCCAUUCGUCUCAUAGUGUCAGUUCAAACUAUUGUAAUCCACUCUGUUUUGUUCUGCUAACGAGUGUCGAAUACUGUCUCCAUGCAUUUCUGUUUGUUUGAGUCUCAUUUUCUUUACAAAUAAAUGUAUGCCAAUUGUAAUGAUCUCUUAAGUAGGAUUUUAAGACACGAGUUGGUGUUUCGUUUGAUAAUGCGAAAAUAUGCAAUUACAAGGACCAAUAAUAUAAUCCCAAUUCUUUUGAAUUAACUUUGUGCAGAGAAAGAAAGAGUACACUUAGGUGACAUUACAAAAUUCAAUCUAAAUCAGAAGGUAGGUGUUUGCUUAAAGCCAUCGUCGCAUCCUUAUUGUCGGACGAUGAUCAGUUUAGAGAUGCCACUUCCCACAAGGUAAUACAUAAUAAUCCCGAGUCUUUCAACUUAACUUAAUUUGUGUUAUAACUCUCUAUUUAUUAGUUCUUGCAUCUUCUGUUUCUUCAUUUUUUUUCAUUUUUUUCUUUUGCAGAAAACGAGUACGUACUCGAAAGCUGAAAUAUUGAAGUUUCUGAAAGAAAGAAACUAAAAUAGAGAGAUUAUGUGACAAAUUCGUUGGUGAAGAAAUUACUAGCUGCUAAGGAUCCUGAUGAUUUGUCUGGGGUUGGGUUGAAUGCUGAGAAUCUGAAUGUUGAUCAACUGUUUGAUAAAAUGUCUCAGAGAGAGAGAGAGAGAGAGAGAAUUAUCUUCA
rnacentral:lncRNA from 1 species